GCUCAGGAUGAACGCUGGCGGCGUGCCUAAUACAUGCAAGUCGAACGCGAGCACUUGUGCUCGAGUGGCGAACGGGUGAGUAAUACAUAAGUAACCUGCCCUAGACAGGGGGAUAACUAUUGGAAACGAUAGCUAAGACCGCAUAGGUACGGACACUGCAUGGUGACCGUAUUAAAAGUGCCUCAAAGCACUGGUAGAGGAUGGACUUAUGGCGCAUUAGCUGGUUGGCGGGGUAACGGCCCACCAAGGCGACGAUGCGUAGCCGACCUGAGAGGGUGACCGGCCACACUGGGACUGAGACAUGGCCCAGACUCCUACGGGAGGCAGCAGUA
rnacentral:rRNA from 1 species